GUAGUAGAUCAUUCAAAAUAUGACGGUAGUAGCUACUUAUGCAUAACAAGGUUGUAAAUCUGCGAUAAAGUAGGUAAUCUCCCCAUAGGUAUAAAAACGGAUUAACCAACAAAACAGACACCAUUCUUCUUAACGCAUCGUCUACAUCCAGAGUCAUGAAGAAAGUGGCAUUAAUUACGCUGAUGGUGAUAGUUGUAUUUGCCGUCUUUAUAGACCAGGCUAAUGCUCAAAUUGACUGGGCGUGCACUGCAAGCUGUGCAAUCUGGAAUGCUUGUAAAAUAAGGAAUAUGUAUGAAGGUGAAGAUGUAGCCGAGUGCGGUGAUCCUCCGCAAGGAUGCAACUGUGAUGUUAUAGCAACACGCAGAUGAUGUAGUAGUUGGCAGAUAAGAGCAUAUCUGGGUGUUGAAAGAUUCAUUUUUGUUGUACGUAGAUAGUAACAUUUAACUUCACUUCACUGUUAAAUGCAUCACAUUCAGCUUGGGUGUGAAACACCCAUGGAAUGUCAUGCAUAAGUACUAAGUAGCCUUACUCUUCAACUUUAUUAAGUAUAAUAUGUACUUUGUUGUACUUUUUAUUGAAUAAAUGCGUUUGUUUCGUUUA